rnacentral:rRNA from 1 species
CUAUUCGGCGUCGAGCGGCGGACGGGUGAGUAAUGCUUGGGAAUAUGCCUUAUGGUGGGGGACAACAGUUGGAAACGACUGCUAAUACCGCAUAACGUCUACGGACCAAAGGGGGGGAUCUUCGGACCUCUCGCCAUUUGAUUAGCCCAAGUGAGAUUAGCUAGUUGGUAAGGUAAUGGCUUACCAAGGCGACGAUCUCUAGCUGGUUUGAGAGGAUGAUCAGCCACACUGGGACUGAGACACGGCCCAGACUCCUACGGGAGGCAGCAGUGGGGAAUAUUGCACAAUGGGCGAAAGCCUGAUGCAGCCAUGCCGCGUGUGUGAAGAAGGCCUUCGGGUUGUAAAGCACUUUCAGCGAGGAGGAAAGGUUAGUAGUUAAUAACUGCUAGCUGUGACGUUACUCGCAGAAGAAGCACCGGCUAACUUCGUGCCAGCAGCCGCGGUAAUACGAGGGGUGCAAGCGUUAAUCGGAAUUACUGGGCGUAAAGCGUGCGUAGGUGGUUUGUUAAGCAAGAUGUGAAAGCCCCGGGCUCAACCUGGGAACUGCAUUUUGAACUGGCAAGCUAGAGUUUUGUAGAGGGUAGUGGAAUUUCCAGUGUAGCGGUGAAAUGCGUAGAGAUUGGAAGGAACAUCAGUGGCGAAGGCGGCUA